rnacentral:rRNA from 1 species
GUCCUCGCUUUUCUCACCGUAGGGAGGUUGAGGAACAAGUGCUGGGCAAGACCGGUGCCAGCCGCCGCGGUAAUACCGGCAGCACAAGUGAUGACCGCUGUUAUUGGGCCUAAAGCGUCCGUAGCUGGCCAGACAAGUUCAUCGGGAAAUCUGCGCGCCUAACGCGCAGGCGUCCGGUGGAAACUGCCUGGCUUGGGACCGGAAAACCAGAGGGGUACGUCUGGGGUAGGAGUGAAAUCCCGUAAUCCUGGACGGACCACCGGUGGCGAAAGCGCCUCUGGAAAACGGAUCCAACGGUGAGGGACGAAAGCUCGGGUCACGAACCGGAUUAAAUACCCGGGUAGUCCGAGCUGUAAACAAUGUCUGCUAGGUGUGACACAGGCUACAAGCCUGUGUUGUGCCGUAGGGAAGCCGUGAAGCAAACCGCCUGGGAAGUACGUCCCCAAGGAUGAAACUUAAAGGAAUUGGCGGGGGAGCACAAAAA